rnacentral:rRNA from 1 species
GACGAACGCUGGCGGCGUGCUUAACACAUGCCAGUCGAACGGAAAGGCCCUGCUUUUGUGGGGUGCUCGAGUGGCGAACGGGUGAGUAACACGUGAGUAACCUGCCCUUGACUUUGGGGUAACUUCAGGAAACUGGGGCUAAUACCGGAUAGGAGCUCCUGCUGCAUGGUGGGGGUUGGAAAGUUUCGGCGGUUGGGGAUGGACUCGCGGCUUAUCAGCUUGUUGGUGGGGUAGUGGCUUACCAAGGCUUUGACGGGUAGCCGGCCUGAGAGGGUGACCGGCCACAUUGGGACUGAGAUAGGGCCCAGACUCCUACGGGAGGCAGCAGUGGGGAAUAUUGCACAAUGGGCGGAAGCCUGAUGCAGCAACGCCGCGUGCGGGAUGACGGCCUUCGGGUUGUAAACCGCUUUCGCCUGUGACGAAGCGUGAGUGACGGUAAUGGGUAAAGAAGCACCGGCUAACUACGUG